CAGGCGAGGCUGGCAGGCAGAGAAAAUAGAAGGAGAAAUCUGGGAGGGGAAGAGAGAAGAGAAAGGAGCCAGAGAAGGAGGAGGACCCAGGGGCCAGCCACCCAGCUACAGAAAAAGACAGUCCACCCAGAACUGGAGGAUGUUGACAGUGACAAAACAGGGCUUGAAAUAACCUCUUCAAAAUCCAUAUACAUGUCAUCUUCUCCAAAGUAGUUUUCCUGUAAAUAUUUUAAAAACAAGCUACCACUUAAAAGCUUCUAUGCCUCUAGCAACUACUACUAACUGGAUGGCUGCAUGUAGAAGAAUGCAAAUAGAUUCACAUCUACCACUCUGCACAAAACUCAACUCCAAAUGAUCAAGGACCUCAACAUAAGGCCAGAUAUCCUGAAUCUAAUAGAAGACAAAGUAGGAUACUCAUUUUUAAAGGAAAAAAUUUUCUGAACAGGACACUGGUAGCACAGGCACUAAGACCAACAAUUAAUAAAUGGAACUUUAUGAAACUGAAAAGCUUCUGUAUGACAAAGGAGACCAUCAUUCAGACAAACUGGGAGGCAAGAGAAUAGAAAAAGAUCUUUAACAAUUAUAAACAUGAUAGAAGCUUAGUGUCUAGAUUAUAAAGAACUAUAAAAGCUGUAAAUCAAGAAAACAACUCAAUUUAAAGAUGAGGUACAAAACUAAACAAUUUUCACAGGAUGAAACACAAUGGCUGAGAAACACUUUAAACAUGUUCAACAUUCUCAGCCAUCAGGGAAAUGCAAAUUAAAAUUAUUUGAGAUUUCAUCUUAUUGCAGUCAGAAUGACCAAAAUCAAUAAAACAAAUAACAGCUCAUGCUGGUGAGGAUAUGAGAUAAGGGGAACAACCAUCCAUUGCUGGUGGAAGUGCAAAUUUGUACAAUCACUAUGGAAAUCAGCAUGGUGGUUACUCAUAAGCUGUGAACAGAUCUACCUCAAGAUCCAGCUAUACUACUCUUGAGCAUAUACCCAAAGGGCUCAACAUCUUUCUACAGAGACACUUGUUCAUUCAUGGCCACUGCUGCUCUAUUAAUAAAAGCAAGAAAUUGGAAAA